AUUGAACGCUGGCGGCAGGCCUAACACAUGCAAGUCGAGCGGAUGAAGGGAGCUUGCUCCUGGUUUCAGCGGCGGACGGGUGAGUAAUGCCUAUGAAUCUGCCUGGUAGUGGGGGAUAACGUCCGGAAACGGGCGCUAAUACCGCAUACGUCCUGAGGGAGCAAGUGGGGGAUCUUCGGACCUCACGCUAUCAGAUGAGCCUAGGUCGGAUUAGCUAGUUGGUGGGGUAAAGGGCUACCAAGGCGACGAUCCGUAACUGGUCUGAGAGGAUGAUCAGUCACACGGGAACUGAGACACGGUCCAGACGCCUACGGGAGGCAGCAGUGGGGAAUAUUGGACAAUGGGCGAAAGCCUGAUCCAGCCAUGCCGCGUGUGUGAAGAAGGUCUUCGGAUUGUAAAGCACUUUAAGGUGGGAGGAAGGGCAGUAAGUUAAUACCUUGCGGUUUUGACGUUACCAACAGAAUAAGCACCGGCUAACUUCGUG
rnacentral:rRNA from 1 species